rnacentral:rRNA from 1 species
GAUGAACGCUAGCGGCAGGCCUAAUACAUGCAAGUCGGACGGGAUUGGAGAGCUUGCUUUCCAUGAGAGUGGCGCACGGGUGCGUAACACGUAUGUAACCUACCUUGUUCAGGGGGAUAGCCUCUCGAAAGAGAGAUUAAGACCGCAUAACAUUGCGAUGUGGCAUCACAUUGUAAUCAAAUAUUUAUAGGAACAAGAUGGGCAUGCGGAACAUUAGCUAGUUGGUAAGGUAACGGCUUACCAAGGCUACGAUGUUUAGGGGAUCUGAGAGGAUGACCCCCCACAAUGGUACUGGGACACGGACCAGACUCCUACGGGAGGCAGCAGUAAGGAAUAUUGGUCAAUGGGCGGAAGCCUGAACCAGCCAUGCCGCGUGCAGGAAGACGGCCCUAUGGGUUGUAAACUGCUUUUGCAGGGGAAUAAACCUUGGUACGUGUACCAAGCUGAAUGUACUCUGAGAAUAAGGAUCGGCUAACUCCGUGCCAGCCGCCGCAGUAA